rnacentral:rRNA from 1 species
AACGAACGCUGGCGGCAUGCCUAACACAUGCAAGUCGAACGAGACCUUCGGGUCUAGUGGCGCACGGGUGCGUAACGCGUGGGAACCUGCCCUUAGGUUCGGAAUACCUCCCGGAAAGGGGUCCGAAAACGGGCGAUUAUCUCCGAUCCAAAGUUUGAUCGCCUUUGGAUGGGCCCGCGUGGGAUUGGCUAGUGGGUAGGGUAAAAGCCUACCACGGCGACGUUCCAUAGCUGGCUUGAGAGGAGGAGCACCGACACUGGGACUGGGACACGGCCCAGACUCCUACGGGAGGCAGCAGUGGGGAAUAUUGGACAAUGGGCGAAAGCAUGAUGCAGCAAUGACGCGUGAGUGAUGAAGGCCUUAGGGUUGUAAAGCUCUUUUACCCGGGAUGAUAAUGACAGUACCGGGAGAAUAAGCGCCGGCUAACUCCGUG